ACCUGUGACAAGGUGCUGCAUGGCUGUCGUCAGCUCGUGUCGUGAGAUGUUCGGUUAAGUCCGGCAACGAGCGCAAACCCACGUCCUUAGUUGCCAGCAGGUUAAGCUGGGCACUCUAGGGAAACUGCCGGUGAUAAGCCGGAGGAAGGUGUGGAUGACGUCAAGUCCUCAUGGCCUUACGGGUUGGGCUACACACGUGCUACAAUGGCAGUGACAAUGGGUUAAUCCCNAAAAAACNGUCUCAGUUCGGAUUGGGGUCUGCAACUCGACCCCAUGAAGUCGGAAUCGCUAGUAAUCGCGUAACAGCAUGACGCGGU
rnacentral:rRNA from 1 species